AGGAGCUCUCCACCUACAGCCUCGAGCGCCCGCCGGAGGUCGCCCACGGCUCCCGCGUCAGGCGAUGGCUCGAGGCGCACCGCAGCCUCAAGACCGCCCUACUCGUCAUGGUCAUGAUCGGGACCUGCAUGGUCAUCGGCGACGGCGUCCUCACCCCCGUCAUCUCCGCAAGGAUGGGACCGAUAGUAUUUUGCUGGAAAUUAAACAUGAGCAUGACUUUAUUGGAGUCGACAUGAUGUACGUUAAUUUGUGAAAUUAUUUCAGUUAUACAAUCAAGACGCCAUCAACAAAACUAUCGUGACUUGCUACUGUCUAUUGAAGAUCGUCGGGUGCAAAAGAGGACAAAUCUAUGAUGUUGGGUUCAUUAGCCCAAAUACCGUAAAUGAAUGGGCGGUACAAAACAGAGCCAAACAUAUUGAGGAAAACUUGCUAAACGCGUUCCUUCGACAUCAAAACAAAAGGGAAAUACUCUUUCCUUACAACUUCAAGUUCCACUUUAUUUUGCUAUCCAUUAAGCUUGACGUGGGAGUAGCAAUUAUCUUAGACUCGAGACGUAAAGAGGCUAAGGAGUGGUCGGACAUGAGUGAAAUGCUCCAGAAUGCUUGUGGCAGGCACACGGGAAUAAUUUAUAAGGAUACUAUGUUUGCGAGUUUAUUUGCCACUAGACCUCUGAGCGGGGCUUAUCUAACAAACAAUUUGAAAUAUGGAAGAAGUGGGACGAACUCUUACCACAUGAUCGCAUACGAGCAAUUCAAGAGGAAUUGGUAAGAUUUUUUCUUGACCACGUCAUACCUAAAGACGGAGAAUACCAUGCAGAAUUGAAUGAUUUGGGUAGAUGAUGUCAGGGAUAGUAAGAGAUGUUAUAUUGUCUAUAUGUAGUACCGUCGGAUAGAUAUACGAAAACUUGUUGUUCAACCAAGCACAGAGAAAGAGAGGUCACUUCUCUCUAUAUAUGUUUAUGACGA